CUGGAACACCUCCUUUCUGGAGNGANGUUGAAAACGACGUUCAUUGGUUCUAAAAUUGUACUACUGGUACUUGUUUAUUUAUAGAAUAUAGAUCGACCGUCUAUAGUAAUAUAGAUAGAGAUAAACAAGAGAAAUGAAAGAAGCCGAGUCUAAUAAACAGACAAGGGUUUGAACUCAGUCCUAUAGCUCAGUUGGUUAGAGCGCUACACUGAUAAUGUAGAGGUCGGCAGUUCAACUCUGCUUGGGACUACCGACAGAUAGAUAUUUUAUCUUGUAUGAUUGGGGGAUUAGCUCAGCUGGCUAGAGCAUCUGCCUUGCACGCAGAGGGUCAACGGUUCGAAUCCGUUAUUCUCCACUCCGAUACCGCAACCUAACAUGCUUGCGUGUAAUCAAACGAUCUUUGACAUGAUGUACAGAAAAAAGUAAAUUUAGUAAGAGCUAAAAGUAUAUAUCGAACCAUUGGGUUCAUCUCCUUUCAAAGGAAGUGAUCCCUGGCGAUAAAAGNAANNANAUAAGGGCGCACGGUGGAUGCCU
rnacentral:tRNA from 1 species